rnacentral:rRNA from 1 species
UACGAAGGGGGCUAGCGUUGUUCGGAAUCACUGGGCGUAAAGGGCGCGUAGGCGGCCUGAUAAGUCGGGGGUGAAAGCCUGUGGCUCAACCACAGAAUUGCCUUCGAUACUGUCGGGCUUGAGACCGGAAGAGGUGAGUGGAAUUCCGAGUGUAGAGGUGAAAUUCGUAGAUAUUCGGAGGAACACCAGUGGCGAAGGCGGCUCACUGGUCCAUUACUGACGCUGAGGUGCGAAAGCGUGGGGAGCAAACAGG